UACGAAGGUGGCAAGCGUUGUUCGGAUUUACUGGGCGUACAGGGAGCGUAGGCGGUUGGAUAAGCCCUCCGUGAAAUCUCCAGGCUUAACCUGGAAAGUGCAGAGGGGACUGUUCAGCUAGAGGAUGGGAGAGGAGCGCGGAAUUCCCGUGUAGCGGUGAAAUGCGUAGAGAUCGGGAGGAAGGCCGGUGGCGAAGGCGGCGCUCUGGAACAUUUCUGACGCUGAGGCUCGAAAGCGUGGGGAGCAAACAGG
rnacentral:rRNA from 1 species